rnacentral:lncRNA from 1 species
UUUCUGUUCCCUUCUCCUUUCAAGAGUUUGUGGAAGUAAGCUUGUCAUCUUUACUAAAUGGAGGUUUCUUCCACCAACACCUUGCCUUCCUCAUCCUUAUGCACUUCACUUGAUCGAAGUCGGAGCCUUUGUCCCCUAGCUUGACUACGUUGUAAUUACUAGGAUGUGUAAUUACUACCCUAGUAAAUAUGCCAAUUCUAAUUAUCUAGUGGCUUUCCAAAUAGACCCUAAUACUAAAUUCACCAACAAAUUUCUCUACGAAAACAUAGUGCAAGGAGGAGGAUAAUAUAUUUUGACCAAUAAUUUAUCACCUAUUGUUCCUCAAUAUUAUGUUCCCGAAAACUACAUUAACUAUGGUGAAAGAGAAUGUAAUAUAUCUCUGAGUGAAGGUAGAAUUGAAAUUAAUAGUGGUGUUAAGGGAGUGGAGAAAGAAAGAUAUGUUUGUCUGUUUAGGGAAGAAAGGUGAUUGGGAAGAAGACAAACAAGAAAGAAGAAUAAAGAACAAAAUAAAAAAAUGGAAAAAGAAUAAAAAAAACCUAAAAUGAAAAAUGUUAUAAAAACUAAUUAAGUACAGUUACUUUUUAAAGAAAAAACCAAUAAGAAGAUGACAAGUAUAUGAGUUUGGCUGCUUUUGGUAUUUUCUCUUCUCACGCGAUUUAAGACAAAUGAUAGCACAUCUUUUUCCAGAACACCUGUUAGGGGGUAUUAAAUUCACUUUGGACAAAAAUAGGGGGUUCUUAAUAAUCACCCGUAAAGUUGGAUUGUGUAACUAAGUAUUCGAAACAACUUUUAUUACAUGCUUAAUGCGCAAAAGGUUUACAUGUCCUGAUCUUGAAUUAUUUUGCCAUGCAUGGCUUAACCCAGUGGCGGAGCCAGAAAUUUUAAUAAGGGGGUUCAAAAUUUGAGAAGUAAACACACGAACUAGUGGAAGGGGG